rnacentral:rRNA from 1 species
AGCGAACGCUGGCGGCAGGCCUAAUACAUGCAAGUCGAACGGCUCUUCGGAGCAGUGGCGGACGGGUGAGUAACGCGUGGGAAUGUGCCCUUAGGUACGGAACAACACAGGGAAACUUGUGCUAAUACCGUAUGUGCCCUUCGGGGGCAAGAUUUGUCGCCUUUGGAGCAGCCCGCGUUGGAUUAGGUAGUUGGUGAGGUAAAGGCCCACCAAGCCGACGAUCCAUAGCUGGUCUGCGAGGAUGACCAGCCACACUGGGACUGAGACACGGCCCAGACUCCUACGGGAGGCAGCAGUAAGGAAUUGUUCGCAAUGGGCGAAAGCCUGACGCAGCCAUGCCGCGUGUAUGAUGAAGGUCUUAGGAUUGUAAAAUACUUUCACCGGGGAAGAUAAUGACGGUACCCGGAGAAGAAGCCCCGGCUAACUUCGUGCCAGCCGCCGCCGUAA